rnacentral:rRNA from 1 species
UACGUAGGCAGCGAGCGUUGUUCGGAGUUACUGGGCGUAAAGGGUGUGUAGGCGGUUUUCUAAGUUUGGUGUGAAAUCUCCCGGCUUAACCGGGAGGGUGCGCCGAAAACUGGGAGACUAGAGUGCGGGAUGGGAGAGUAGAAUUCCUGGUGUAGCGGUGAAAUGCGUAGAUAUCAGGAGGAACACCAGCGGCGAAGGCGGCGCUCUGGGCCGGUACUGACACUGAGGAGCGAAAGCGUGGGUAGCAAACAGG